ACGUGAGUUUCUUGUAUAAUUCUACACUUCGUCUUCUUUUUUUAAAAUGCUGGAAUUGGGACUCCUGAUAGCGGUUCGUUGGUUUGCAUCUGUUCAGGAUCUUGAGAUGUACAAUCGUGGGAGUCCAAGAUCUGGGAACGGCUCCUUUGAUUGCUAAUUGCGUAUAUGAGAACGUUAAAAAGUGAUUGAAUCAUGGAUGGCUCAUUCAUGUUCCAAUUCUGGGUACCAUUUACACCCAGAUCAUUGUGUUUGCUAGAUUUUGAAAACUGGAAUGCACUGUCUACGUUCUCGUGCUGCCGCCGAUGCAAUUAAAUUCACCGUGGACUUCAAGUCUCAAAAAAGCAAAGAAGAGUGCACCGCGUGGAGUUAAAUGAGUUAACAAUGUUGUCUCGACGGGUCCUUGUUCUAUGAAGCAGUCAUCUGUAGAUCGUGACAUCUUCUUAAACGCCAUAUCAACUAGUAUGGUAAAUUGGUGGUAGAUUCUAGUGGAAGCAGCGAAGUCUUGAAAGGAUUGGUCGUACAGGUAAAAACUUUUAAUUUGUUAUUAAGUGCUGAUCUUGCAUUUUUCCAGUAAACGCUUGGAAUCUAAGCGUCUCUCUCUCUCUCACUCUCUCUUGCAUAGAAUUAGGUUAGAUCGGCAAUUAUCCUGCUGAGUUGAAACAUCCUGUGGUUUACGAGGACACUCUCGAAUGAUCAGGUCAAGGAUGAUGAGAUUUAGCGCCCUAUUAUUCAGACAUUAACAAUGGGAUAUAAGUCACUUGCUUCAAAGAAACUUGACUGCAUACUUAAGGAAAAUAGUUGAUCUUAAAUGCUCAGAAUGAUUCAGGAAGCAAUAUGGAUGCUGUAACUGCAUUGCUACCUUCGCAGGCUAGACUUGUUCACACGGCAUGAUCUCUGUAUAGUCAAAUAGGACGGGUUCCCUGUUGCUCUUUAUUUCACCAUUAACAAAUUGGAGAGCUUUCAAGACAACUUUGGUAGCGAGGGAAAUUAAUAAACGUAAUAUACUGGCAUUCAUGUGUUUCCUCGUUGAAGUCUUCUGGUGGUGGUUGCAGAA